GGCUGGUCCGAAGGUAGUGAGAUCUCACAACGAUUGCUUACAGUCAAUUACUGGUCGGCCUAUUUGUCUACCUCCCCUCACUACUGCACUUGACCAGUCUUAA
ensembl:misc_RNA Y_RNA Y RNA